AGUUGGUGAGGUAAAGGCUCACCAAGGCGACGAUCUGUAGCGGGUCUGAGAGGAUGAUCCGCCACACUGGAACUGAGACACGGUCCAGACUCCUACGGGAGGCAGCAGGUGGGGAAUUUUGGACAAUGGGCGCAAGCCUGAUCCAGCCAUGCCGCGUGAGUGAAGAAGGCCUUCGGGUUGUAAAGCUCUUUCGGCCGGGAAGAAAUCGUAUGGGUUAAUACCCUGUGCGGAUGACGGUACCGGCAUAAGAAGCACCGGCUAACUACGUG
rnacentral:rRNA from 1 species